CUGGCGUAUCAAAUGAUUGCCAAAAAUUUAUGUCAUCUUAGGAUGUAUUAGUACCCAACACUGGGAUGACAAUUUUAUUUCCUCAUUAGUGCCAGCUGUGAUCAUGUGGUAGUGAUGGCCUAGAGGCUGUACUGAGAUGAUUUAAGAUGACUCCCAUCUCAAUGCCAGGAGUUAUUGGGAUAUCUGCUAUGGGAGUGGGAGUGGAGAGUAUUCAUAUGUGUGUCUGCAUCUUUGAUUAUGAGUUUGAGGGGUAGCAGAGCCAAUCUAUAUUGUGACUGCCCAAAUGUGCAAGAUAUUAGACUGAAAAUGUUUUCAUAAGGCAGAGCCCAUCAGGGCGAGAGGUCUCUGAAUUCUCCCAUGUGGAGAGCUUGCAAGAAUUGAAACUGUCCAGACUGGAGAAGCAAAUGCUGAAUGGCUGCCGUGUGAAAGAGGGAUUGAGUCUGUUGUUACCUGUGAACUUAUGGAAGAGUUGGGUUCUGAUAAACUUCAUGGACGGAAACUAGAAGUUGUACACAGAUUUCAGGCACUACGUUGUCUGGGAUGAUGGAAGGAGCUAAAGUCUUCAGUGAAUGAAGGAGCAGGACCAGGAGCUCAAAAUACUUCUUUGAAGACAAAGAAGAAAUGAUAUUACCAAAUGGUUGGCUCAAAAGAACAGGGAUUUUGCAACAGAGAGAGUAUGUCAUGGUCUUGAACAAGCAAUGUUUUGCCAGGACGAUUAAAUAUCAUUGAUGCUUCUGGUCUACAAUUAGUCAGAGAAGAGAUUAAAAAAAUGAUGAGUAUUCAAGAAGGAAAGUGUUUGCUUUAACAUAUGAAGAAAAGGAGCUUCAGAGUGGUGAUUAACCCCAGAAUUGUGUGGAACGGAUAUGGAAACAAGACCACAGGAGCAUCGAGAACUGAGCAGAACUGAAGGUGACAUGAAAAUCAGCUGCAAGAUUCACCUCAGGGUGAUAAUGGGCUGCAGGUGGCUGCAGGAAUCCCGGGACAUUCUAGGCACUGCCAUAUUUUCUUAGGGGCCAGUAAGGAUGGCUAUCAUCAGAUGUACCUGAUGAUACAAACAUGGGCUGUCUUGCCUUCUAGUAUUCAUUCUUGAUGAUUGCAUCCAGAGCUCACUUUGGAGGUGCAGAUCAACUCUUCUUCAGGCUCAUCCAUGCGACUUGAGUGGGCUCUCAUCCCCAUUCCCAGGGGCUUAUGACAAUCAAGGUUUCCACUCCUCCAUGGUCUCAAUGGUUUUUCUCCCCAUGGGAAGCACAUAAUCCCAUUAGAGGCCACGGGAAGCUUUUUUGUUGGGCUUUGAGGGAAAAAAGGCUUUUGCAGCCAAUGAAUCGAUCAAUGUGUACUUCAACCUGGAUUGUAUGUAUGCAUCUCCUAGAUUGGGCGGAUGAUGAAGUGAGGCUGGAAGUGCUGAGCAUCUUCCUACCUGGGAUGACUGGGCUGAGCAGGAAGCCUACCCCGGGGUUCCAGCCAAGUUGGAGCCUGUGAGUGUGUGGUGUAGUUUAACGCCCUGAUUAAAUCACUAGGAAGCCAUUUCUCUCUCUCCUCCCAGACCAGAUCAGACAAUAUGUUCCCUUAUUUCUACUAAAGCCCCAAUUGGAUUUUGUGUCUUUUGAUACUGAAAGAAUCUUACCACAAAUAAAAUAAUUUGUCAUGUGGCUCCUACAUAUUUAUUCAGUUACAUAAACUAACUAAAUAAAUGAAUAAACUGUCAAUAAUGGUAGUUCCUCAUCUAUGAAUGACUCUUUACAAAGCCUAUCUCGCUUAAUAGUCAUAAUAAAUACUGAAGUAGAUACUAUUUAUACCUUUUUUUUAAAAGGAAUUAAAUAUUUUCAGGGUUAUACAAAGCAUGAGUAUUGUGGGUACAAAUUCAAGCUUUCUAACUCAAAUUUGAAGACUUAUCCCCAGGAUACUUUUACAUCUUUAGCUAGUACCAUGUAUACCUCAAAAGCUUACAUUAUUUUUCACAUGUGUUAGGUUUUGAGGGAUAAUCAAUAAGGAGGGCAUACUUUCAGGCUUCUUAUUUAUAACUGUGAAAUUUAGAAAUUGAUGGAGUAGCAGAUUUCUCGGUAGGAGACAGCUGUUUUAAAAUGCCCCAUGUUUUUAUUAAAGUAAAAAUCUCAAAAAUUGUCUUUUAAAAAGUGGCUCUGGCCAAUCUUAGAUAAAACAUCAUUUACUAGACUUAGGAAUUUCCUGUAGUAAAUUUCAGAUUUACUUUUCGGUCUCACAUCAUCAAAGAGAUCAUAACCCUUUGUGCAAUUAUGGUCUUGAACCAAGGCCUAUUCUCUAGGUCACUGCUGUCAGGACUUCAAGAUAAUUGUUUCCAUUGCAGGAUUUGAUUUUUAAUUCCCCGGAUGUUCUUGACGUGGUUCAGUUCUUCAGGAAAUCAUCACCCUCAUGAGCCCUCCCUGCCACUUGCAGAUAGGGCUUUCUCCCGGUAAGUUCUGGAGUCACGGCAGAGCUCAAUAAGUCUGAUUGGGACCUCCUAUGAUUAU
rnacentral:lncRNA from 10 species